rnacentral:lncRNA from 1 species
CCCAAGCAAGCCUACUAUUUAUCUUGCUCAUUACUCCAUUAAAUAUUGCUAAGUCACAUUUUAUAACUUUGGAUCAAAAUGGUGAUGGACAUUGCCAACUCGUACUGGCGCUACUCAUUUAAAAUAUACAUACAUUAUCUACAUCAUUUAUUCUAAUAAUUUACAUUGGGUUUACCUAUACACAAUAAAAAAAAGAGUACUCGACUUUCAACGGAGAGACUCGGACGAAUAUACAACUACUGAAUGUCGAGACACCUACCAAGGGUCGAAUGUAUGAAGACACCUCGACUUAGCUACCAGCUGUCUCGUGAUCUGAAAACAUGAAGUUGAAAACGGUGAGUAUAAACCCAGUGAGUGAACAAGGAAGGGAACAAGCAACAGUAAGGGAAGAUUUAAAAAUCAUGAUGCACUUAUUUCAAAACAAUGCAAUUUAAUUUAGUGCUUAUCAAAAGCCCUCAAGAAACCCCUACCAUUAAAUCACUUAAUGUAAAGGGUCCAUGCUCGACUAUGGUACCAAAGAAGUGGAAAAUAGCGCGACAAUCGAUCAAGAUACUAAGCAAAACAGAAGGUUUUUCGUUGCAGCAAGAUUCAAGCCAUAAAACACAAACUUUCUCGCUGCAGCGAGAACCAUGUCUGGUGAAACCCUUGAAACUCAAAGGUUUCUCACUGCAGGAAGAAUGAAUCUCGCUGCAGUGAGAACAGAGCAACAAGAGAAAAGUUUCCCCUCACUCAAUAAAAAGCCAUCUUGCUAAACCAACAAAAUCAACAUAAAGCACAUGAAAAUUCUCAAAGUGCAAUGUAUCAAAUUUCACAUACAUUUCAAUCAUAUAUCAUAUUCAUGAGCCUUCAUUUCAUAAGCAUAGAUAUGCAUAAUUACAUAGAUAAACAUCAAUAUCAUCAUAAUCAUACCCGACUCAUGUGCAUCCCCCCACAUCGUGCACAUAGCUGGUGCCAUCGUAUGCAUCCUCCCACAUAGUGCACAGUCAGUGCCAUCGUGUACAUCCCCCCACAUCAUGCACACGGGCACUAUCAUCAUAAUCACACCUGGCUCAUGUAUAUCCCCCCCACAUCAUGCACAUAGCCGGCGCCAUCGUGUGCAUCCCCCCACAUCGUGCACAGUCAGUGCCAUCGUGUACAUCCCCACACAUCAUGCACACGGGCACUAUCAUCAUCCACCUCCCUCACUACGCCAUCACUAGCAUGUGCAUUUCCCCACAUUGUGCACAGUCAGUGUUAUAAUCAUCAUACACAAUAUGAAUUAUCAUGCACACCACACACACACACACAUAUAUAUACACCACCAAAAUGUAAUAGUGCAUAAAUCCAUAACCAAUCACAUGUCACAUCAUAAAGGCAAUUUUCAAAAGCUUGUUCCCAAGGCACUUGUUUUUAGGAAAAGCUAGAUAAACCAUUCAAAUGUUUGUGCAAUUUUAUUCAUAUUCCCAAAACAAGUUUUGAAACGCAGUUCACUCACCAGUAGUAGUUGAGUCUUUAGCCAACUCGAACCUCCCUAAUGGUCCAAUUGGG